rnacentral:rRNA from 1 species
UACAGAGGAGCCAAGCGUUGUCCGGAUUGACUGGGCGUAAAGCGCACGCAGGCGGUCGUGCGCGUGGGGUGUGAAAAUCUGGCCGCUUAACGGCCAGGCGCCAUCCCAUACGGCACGACUGGAGCGAUGCAGAGGUCGGUGGAAUUGCCGGUGUAGUGGUGAAAUGCGUAGAGAUCAGGCAGAACACCUGGGGCGAAGGCGGCCAGCUGGGCCGUCCCUGACGCUGAGGCGCGAAGGCGUGGGGAGCGAACGGG